rnacentral:rRNA from 1 species
GAUGAACGCUGGCGGCGUGCCUAAUACAUGCAAGUCGAGCGAACAGACGAGGAGCUUACUCCUCUGACGUUAGCGGCGGACGGGUGAGUAACACGUGGAUAACCUACCUAUAAGACUGGGAUAACUCCGGGAAACCGGAGCUAAUACCGGAUAACAUGUUGAACCGCAUGGUUCAACAGUGGAAGACGGUCUUGCUGUCACUUAUAGAUGGAUCCGCGUCGCAUUAGCUAGUUGGUAAGGUAACGGCUUACCAAGGCAACGAUGCGUAGCCGACCUGAGAGGGUGAUCGGCCACACUGGAACUGAGACACGGUCCAGACUCCUACGGGAGGCAGCAGUAGGGAAUCUUCCGCAAUGGGCGAAAGCCUGACGGAGCAACGCCGCGUGAGUGAAGAAGGUCUUCGGAUCGUAAAACUCUGUUAUUAGGGAAGAACAAAUGUGUAAGUAACUAUGCACGUCUUGACGGUACCUAAUCAGAAAGCCACGGCUAACUACGUG